rnacentral:lncRNA from 1 species
GCAGAACCAUAAAAAAUGUUUUAAAUAGUAGCAGCAUUAAUAUAUGACAAUGAAUUGUGAGUAACUAUUAUCAGCAAUAAAGGGUUAUAGGACAACUCAGAGGGACUCAUGAGGAAAAAGGCUAUCCACCAGCAUAUAAGGCACUGAUGGAGUUUGAAUGAAGAUUGAGGUCAAGAUGGAAGAAAUGGAAGAAGAAAUAAGGGAUAGAAAGCUAUUGCUGAACCAUUUCAAUAUGUAAAAGACAACAUGAUGUUAAGUUAUCAACAGAGAGACCACAUUCAUCAAAAGAGUAAAUAAUUGAAAACCUUCAAAGGUAGAAUGAAUGGAAGGCUCAUGGAAUAAAGAAGUAUGGCAGAAAGGCAUCAAUCCUGCUUAAUGAAUGCAAAAUCAACUCUGACACUUAAGAGACAGCCCAUGAAUUGCUACCACAGUGCCACUUCCUUGGGGCAACCACAAAGACACAGGAUGAAGGAGAAAUAGGGCUCCUGGUGAGGCAUCAACCUGUCAGGGUGCUUCCUAUCUUUCCACUGCUCCUGACUCCAACUUUCUCCCCUGAAGGAAUAUGAAGCUUUUGUCAAGCAAACAAACACCAAA